CCUACGGGAGGCAGCAGUGGGGAAUAUUGGACAAUGGGGGCAACCCUGAUCCAGCAAUUCUGUGUGCACGAAGAAGGUUUUCGGAUUGUAAAGUGCUUUCAGCAGGGAAGAAGCAAGUGACGGUACCUGCAGAAGAAGCGACGGCUAAAUACGUGCCAGCAGCCGCGGUAAUACGUAUGUCGCAAGCGUUAUCCGGAAUUAUUGGGCAUAAAGGGCAUCUAGGCGGCCCUGUAAGUCUAGGGUGAAAACCUGCGGCUCAACCGCAGGCCUGCCCCGGAAACUACAGGGCUGGAGUAUUGGAGAGGUGGACGGAACUGCACGAGUAGAGGUGAAAUUCGUAGAUAUGUGCAGGAAUGCCGAUGAUGAAGAUAGUUCACUGGACGAUAACUGACGCUGAAGUGCGAAAGCUGGGGGAGCGAACAGGAUUAGAUACCCUGGUAGUC
rnacentral:rRNA from 1 species